rnacentral:rRNA from 1 species
GACGAACGCUGGCGGCGUGCUUAACACAUGCAAGUCGAACGGUAAGGCUCCAGCUUGCUGGGGUACACGAGUGGCGAACGGGUGAGUAACACGUGGGUGACCUGCCCUGCACUUCGGGAUAAGCCUGGGAAACUGGGUCUAAUACCGGAUAGGACCAUGGUGUGGAUACUGUGGUGGAAAGUUUUUUCGGUGUGGGAUGGGCCCGCGGCCUAUUAGCUUGUUGGUGGGGUAAUGGCCUACCAAGGCGGCGGAGGGUAGCCGGGCUGAGAGGGUGGGCGGCCCCAUUGGGACCGAGAAACCGCCCAGACCCCUAAGGGGGGGAGCAGGUGGGAAUAAUGCCCAAUGGGGGGAAGCCUGAAGGAGCGACGCCGGGUGGGGGAUGAAGGCCUUCGGGUUGUAAACCUCUUUCACCCCGCGAGAAGGGUUUUUGACCGGAAGUGGAGAAGAAACCCCCGGUAAACUCGUG